AUCGCUUCUCGGCCUUUUGGCUAAGAUCAAGUGUAGUAUCUGUUCUUAUAAGUUUAAUAUCUGAUACGUCCCCUAUCUGGGGACCAUAUAUUAAAUUGAUUUUUGGAAUAGGGAGAUGGAAUAGGGGCUUUCUCCGUCCACUACACACAUCGACCUGGGAUUUCAUACACCAAGAAUGGCGGCAGCAGG
ensembl:snRNA U2 U2 spliceosomal RNA